CUACGGGGGGCUCCAGUGGGGAAUAUUGGACAAUGGGGGAAACCCUGAUCCAGCAAUGCCGCGUGUGUGAAGAAGGCCUGCGGGUUGUAAAGCACUUUCGGUUGGGAGGACUGCUUCUAGCACUAAUAUUGUUGGAAGUUGACGUUACCUUCAGAAGAAGCACCGGCUAACUCCGUGCCAGCAGCCGCGGUAAUACGGAGGGUGCAAGCGUGAAUGGAAUUACUGGGCGUAAGGCGCGCGUAGGCGGCUAGAUCAGUCGGGUGUGAAAGCCCCGGGCUUAACCUGGGAACUGCAUCCGAUACUGUCGAGCUUGAGUACAGGAGAGGAGAGUGGAAUUCCACAUGUAGCGGUGAAAUGCGUAGAUAUGUGGAGGAACACCAAUGGCGAAGGCAGCUCUCUGGCCUGAUACUGACGCUGAGGUGCGAAAGCGUGGGGAGCAAACAGGAUUAGAUACCCUUGUAGUC
rnacentral:rRNA from 1 species